rnacentral:rRNA from 1 species
GACGAACGCUGGCGGCGUGCCUAAUACAUGCAAGUCGAACGCAGUGGCGACGGGUGAGUAACACGUGGGUAACCUCACAGCAGAGGGGAUAACACUUGGAAACAGGUGCUAAACCGAUACUGAUGGAUGGACCCGCGGUGCAUUGGCUAGUUGGUGAGGUAACGGCUCACCAAGGCCACGAUGCAUAGCCGACCUGAGCGGGUGGUCGUCCGCACUGGAACUGUGCCAGUGCCCAGACGCCUACGGGAGGCAGCAGUAGGGAAUCUUCGGCAAUGGACGAAAGUCUGACCGAGCAGCGCAGCGUGAGUGAAGCAGGUUUUCGGAUCGUAAUACUCUGUUGUUAGAGAAGCGGUAUCUAACCAGAAAGCAACGGCUAACUACGUGCCAGCAGCCGCGGUAAUUC